rnacentral:rRNA from 1 species
UACGAAGGGGGCUAGCGUUGUUCGGAAUUACUGGGCGUAAAGCGUGCGCAGGCGGCUUCUCAAGUCAGGGGUGAAAGCCCAGAGCUCAACUCUGGAAUUGCCUUUGAGACUGAGUGGCUUGAGUACGAGAGAGGUGAGUGGAAUUCCCAGUGUAGAGGUGAAAUUCGUAGAUAUUGGGAAGAACACCGGUGGCGAAGGCGGCUCACUCGGCUCGUAACUGACGCUCAUGCACGACAGCGUGGGGAUCAAACAGG